rnacentral:rRNA from 1 species
UACGGAGGGGGCUAGCGUUGUUCGGAAUUACUGGGCGUAAAGCGCUCGCAGGUGGUUCGUCGCGUCGUGCGUGAAAGACCCCGGCUCAACUGGGGAGUGUCGUGCGAUACGGGCGAACUGGAGGCCAGUAGGGGGAUGCGGAAUUCCGGGUGUAGUGGUGGAAUGCGUAGAGAUCCGGAGGAACACCAGCGGCGAAGGCGGCAUCCUGGACUGGUCCUGACACUCAGGAGCGAAAGCGUGGGGAGCGAUCCGG